UCCUUUAAAAGGCAUCACGUUCAGGGGUAGUUAUGUAAAUUUACGCACACUCACUGAGCACGCACAUACAUUCGCGAAGCUUUUCUCUGUCUACCAUUUCAACAAGCCCUCACUGAACAGUAGCUAGCUGAAUACACUUUUCUCUCUCCGUCUCUAUCUCAUCGGAAUACACCUCGCCUCCUCUCGUUCUCUCUCUCACUGGAGUUCAUGGAAGUUGACCUAGCAGCAGAUUGGGCAAAUAGUCUUCGCCGCAAAUGGAGAUGGAUUGGAGAUGUAUUCUGCUACUGAUUAUUGAAUAGAUCUCAGAUUCUAGUUCCGAAGGCAGAGAAGGAACAAGAAGAAUGGACGGGACCUUUGUUCAUGGACUGAUGGAACUCAUAGUUUAUGGACUAAUAUACUGAAAUAUUGUCUUUCUAACCUCUUGUGCUACUUUUUUCAUUGUUGUCCUCUCUUGUGCACUAUUUUAAGGCAUUCAAAUGCACGUUUGGCUAAUGCCAUUCAUUGCAUCAAGUGACUUUCCAACAUGUUUCCCACUCCGAUAUACUUUUCAGCAGCCUCCACAACAUUAAUUAUGACUACAUAAUCUUUCUGCUUUUUCAUUAAA